UACGUAGGGGCCUAGCGUUGUCCGGAUUUAUUGGGCGUAAAGAGCUCGUAGGCGGUUCGGUAAGUCAGGUGUGAAAUCUCCACGCUCAACGUGGAGGCGCCACCUGAAACUGCCGUGACUCGAGUCCGGUAGGGGAGUGUGGAAUUCCCGGUGUAGCGGUGAAAUGCGUAGAGAUCGGCAGGAACACCCAGGGGGAAACCAGUGGACUGGCACGGUGCUGACGCUCAGGUGCGAAAGCGUGGGGAGCGAACCGG
rnacentral:rRNA from 1 species